GCAGGCAACAAUAAAGAGCCUUUGGGCCUCAUUUGAGAUGAACUACUUGGGUCACUGCCAAAGUUUUACAUGCUUUAAGGGGGAAUCCCAGAAGCUACAUUUCUGACUUCAGAUCCUGAAAAUGAAAUCAAGAACCUUCUGCAUCCAAUAGAAAUGCACUUUCGCCUCCAGUCCAGGAGUUCCUGCAAUGCAACGCUCUCGUUCUCUGAAAGUCUGAGCUGGU